CCUACGGGAGGCAGCAGUGAGGAAUAUUGGUCAAUGGUCGGGAGACUGAACCAGCCAAGCCGCGUGAGGGAUGAAGGUACAGAGUAUCGUAAACCUCUUUUGUCAGGGAACAAAGGCGGGGACGCGUCCCCGGAUGAGUGUACCUGAAGAAAAAGCAUCGGCUAACUCCGUGCCAGUAGCCGCGGUAAUACGGAGGAUGCGAGCGUUAUCCGGAUUUAUUGGGUUUAAAGGGUGGGCAGGCGGUCUGUUAAGUAAGCGGGUAAAGCCCCGGGCUCCACCCCGGACCGGACUUUGAACCUGGCAGUCUCGAGUUGGAGAGAGGUAUGCGGAAUGCGCGGUGUAGCGGUGAAAUGCAUAGAUAUCGCGCAGAACUCCGAUUGCGAAGGCAGCAUGCCGGCUCCACACUGACGCUGAGGCACGAAAGCGUGGGUAUCGAACAGGAUUAGAUACCCGUGUAGUC
rnacentral:rRNA from 1 species